rnacentral:lncRNA from 1 species
CUUUGACAAAAUGGCUGCCCACGGCCCAAGCUGUGGUCACAAAGGAUGACACAUUCCCUUCCAAACUUCUUCCCUCUGGGGAGGGAAUCCAGUUAUCCAGCGAUUGGAUUUUCUGCAUGAUGUGCCACACACCUGAAGCAUGGUAACAAUUUCCACCAUGAGUUAUUAAAUAAUAAUUGGUGUAGUGGUGUCUCCAGGAGCUCAAGCAGCUGCAGCACACCCAAAGCCUUCUCCGUCCCAAUGCCUAAAGGGUUUCUGCAGCAGAGGGAGCUCUGGCUGGGAAGAAGGAGCAGGAAUGAAAGGAAGGCACUUGUCACAUGCAAGAGGUCAGAGGCAGUCCAGGAGGAGAAAGGGAACUGGUGAAUGGGAAGAGCUGCCUGCCUUCAUCCUCAGCUGGCCAAAGUUCAGAAAAAGCCUUUGGAAAUGCCCCAACUUUCUCAGGGGAGUACUACUACUGAGUAACACUACUGAGUAUUUUUGUUUUGUUUUGGUUUGGUUUGGUUUGGUUUAGUUGUGUUUUUGUUGUUGUGUUUGUUUGUUUGUUUUGUUUUGUUUGUUAAACUCAACAAAAACAGCAUAUGGAAACAAAGAUUGUCUGUGUGUGCUAUGACCUCCAAUACGUGACAGGACUGUCUCCUUGGUGGUGUCCUAGGGGUGAUGCAUGAGGUGGGAUGGAGCUGUUUUCUGAACACCAGCAUCUCAGUGGGCUGCAGACUGUAGAAAAUCAGGAUGUUCUAGGCUGUGCAAAGGCAACAGUGAUGUCCCAGGUCUUGCUACCCUGCCAAAUGAGUAGAGAUAGGGAGAGGCAACUGUGACCAUCUGUGCUCCCAACAGUGAUGUUCUGCAUGGAGAUGCUGAUGGGGAGUGCUACUGAGCUGUCCCCUGGGUACCCUGGGUCUUGCCAGCUUGCAGAUGUAGAAGAAGGAAGAGAACAUGCAGUCACUGUUCUCUAGCAAAAACCUGCACAGCACCUUAGCCACACUUAAAAAUUUUAAAAUUUAAAUGCUUAUGAGUUUUAUUUCAUUGCCUUCUGUUUGCCAACAGCCUUCUUUGGAGACUUCUUUGAUGUGCAGGAUACUUAAGUCUGCUUUUAGAAUCACAAAGUGAGGUCCUAAAAAAACACACUUUUGUGGUACAACUGUAAGAUAAUUAACAGGAAUUUUCUGCUGCAUCAGAAAUACAUAUAUUAUUUACUUCUUGCCAGCUCCCCUUGCAUCUCUUAUCUUCAAUCCUGU